AGACAGAAAGCAUGAGGGCAGGCUCAUCAGUGUCAGAGCAGGGGAGACCAGCACAGACACCUUACAAACAGAAUGACCUUCUGUAGCUACGGAGAAAGGCUUCAGGCAAAGAGAUGCAGCUCUGGGCCCCAGAGUCCGCUGGAGCACACUGGAGCUGGAGCACAUUGAAGUGGAAGACGGGGCUGCAGGCAGACACUGGGCAGCCUCCGCUCCAAGGAGGCUGGAGAGCCAGAGAGCAGAUUCCAUAAGAAGAAUAACUCCCAUUCCUCAUGCAUGAGACCCUCUGCUAAACGCUUCCCGUGCACCACCUCCAGAAAUCCUCCCAAGCCAGGACCCCAGCAGUAUUACAAAUAAGAAAACGGAGGAUCCCAGAAGUUUGACAACCUGCCCACAGCAAUGACCAAAUCAGACUUGGUGCUAGGUCUACAUCUCCCCAAAGCCAGCGUGUUUGUGCGCUCUGCUGCCACUGCUACCCGCUGUCCCCGCACAUGAUGUGAACUGCCAGGCUGACCUGGAGUUCUGUCUCCUGGGUGGGCUGCUUGCCAACACCAGGGUGGCUGGCCCCUGCCUGUGUCCGGUGCUGCAGUGUUGACUCUCUUCGUGUGACGUUAAGCAGGUGGAGCUGGUUGUGCUGAGCCUGAGAAAACAUCCAAUGUGCCAAACUUCCUUGUGUGUUUCCCUCUGCUGGUUAUUUAGUAUAAGCCCAGGAGAAGAGCAAAUCCUGCCCCAAACAGAUGAUCCUCUUGAAAAGAGUGGUUAUGGUGAUGAUGCCAGCAUUCAGCGGGGAGAUUCAGCUUUUCAAGAUUCUUCCAGCACUUUGCUUCCCACAUUGCAUAAUGCUUGAUGGCUACAGCUCUGCUGACUGUUUGGG